rnacentral:rRNA from 1 species
UGGGGAAUAUUGCACAAUGGGCGCAAGCCUGAUGCAGCCAUGCCGCGUGUGUGCAGAAGGCCUUCGGGUUGUAAAGCACUUUCAGCGGGGAGGAAGGCGUUAAGGUUAAUAACCUUUGCGAUUGACGUUACCCGCAGAAUAAGCACCGGCUAACUCCGUGCCAGCAGCCGCGGUAAUACGGAGGGUGCAAGCGUUAAUCGGAAUUACUGGGCUUAAAGCGCACGCAGGCGGUCUGUCAAGUCGGAUGUGAAAUCCCCGGGCUCAACCUGGGAACUGCAUUCGAAACUGGCAGGCUAGAGUCUUGUAGAGGGGGGUAGAAUUCCAGGUGUAGCGGUGAAAUGCGUAGAGAGCUGUAGGAAUACCGGUGGCGAAGGCGGCCCCCUGGACAAAGACUGACGCUCAGGUGCGAAAGCGUGGGGAGCAAACAGG